rnacentral:misc_RNA from 1 species
AAAGCGCGAAAUGUAAUGUGAAUUGCAGAAUUCAGUGAAUCAUCGAAUCUUUGAACGCACCUUGCGCUCUCGGGUUAUUCCUGGGAGCAUGUUCGUUUGAGUGUCGCGUACCUCUCAACCCCCCGUUGGCAACAGCGGUGUCCGGGUUGGAUCGUGGCGGUCUGUUCCAAUGCGCGAACUCCGCUGAAAUGCAAGAAGCUGUACCUUUGUACUGGCGGCUUGACCCGUUGUCAUAAGAACUUUCAAUGGGGAUCGCCUGGUCGGGACGAGCUUACCACAAACGCCUCUCGGGGCAUUUCUACCUUUGACCUCAAAUCGAGCAGGACUACCCCCUGAACUUAA